AGGGAUAGAUUCAAAGGGCAGCGCAACACAAACACAAACCCACCAGUGUUUGUGUUUCAUGUGAGAACAACGAUAUGGGGAUGAACAGGAACCAGCGCCAGGAUGAGAUAGGACUAUUCCAAGAAGACACCGUCUCUCUCUAUAAUCCACCCACGCAACCGAGGGGCUGCCAUUGGCGCAGAGGCGCGUGACAUUCACAUGCUCAUAAAUAAGGAGCCACGCAGCCUCAACUCACCCUGCGCUGGUCGCCAUGACUGCCCGCCUGGUGACGCCUUGCUGCAUGGCGCUUUUCCUCUUCCUGACGGUGAGCUCUGCCACCACACACUGUCUUAGCAAUCUGCCGACACUUGUAAUAAGAUGAGCAAAGAAAUACCUAUACAACAAAAUAUUUUCUUUUAAGUCUGCCAAGGAUCUCUCGGUAUUCAUGACACCAUUAUUGAUGCAAAAACAAAGAAAGUCACCACAGAGUUGAGGUACACAUGAUGCGUCUGCUCCCCAAGUGGCGGGUGGCGGCUUGUGCCAGGAGCUUCUUCAGUCCCAGCCACUGAAAUGCAGCGCCCAGGUGAGAAAAACAAUGGAAUUACCUUCGUGUAUGUGCAGAGCGCUUCUACCUUUCACGGUGCGCACCUUCCUCCGUGACGUCCCUGUAGUACAACACCCUAGAGGACCCUGAAGAGUGACCAGCACAAAAUUACACCUUACAUUUUAUAACACAAACAACAGUUUCUUCGCUUACCUUCACUAUAGCAGGUCCCGCAGGUCCCCGCCGGCCACCGCCCCGCCAAGUACUACUCCUCAGAGGUGAGUGUCCCUGCAAGAGCUCUUCCUGCUCGUAUUGAUAAGGUGUGAAAUGUUGAGUCACGUGUCCACUUCCGCUUGCCCCAUCAGAUGAAGGAGGUCAAGGCGUCGCUGCGCGGCGGCUUCUUCUCCUCCCUUGAGGUCUACCUGUGUCUGGAGAGUUUGGCGGAGGAGUGCGCCAUAAAGUGAGCAGCAGCGGCUGCCGUGGCUCCUGGGACGUGCAGGAUUAACAAAAUAAUUUGCUCUUGUAUCAUUGGUAAAAAUUUACUUUCUAGUCUUCCUUUUUUUUUUUUUCAUGUUCAGGAAUUUGUAUUGUGGCAUCAGGUACUUCAGUUAUGACUGGAUUACGAUGUUACAUAACAAUGGCUCCAAGUUUUCAUGAGAAGUUACAUCGCUUGUGUAAACACUGCAAACUGCUGUCACUAAACAAUCUGGAUUUGUGUCCGCGAGGGAAAGGGAAGGGAAGGGCGAAGGGUUAUGCCUAGUCUUCCAACAGGGAGCGCCUCCACUUACUGGAUGGUGACGCCAUCAUAGAAUUCCAGCGGCGGGAAGCUCGACCCAGAAACUACACCCACGUUGCUUUUAUUAUCCUGCCGGACGCCAAGACCUGCCAGCCGUGCACGCUUCAGGUUCGGGUGAUGAGCAGCAAGUUUGAAAACAACGUCCUCAAAUAUGGUGAGGAGAAAACCUUCUGCUUUGACAUCACACGAAAAUGACCGAAGAAGAAAAAAUAUCUAAGUUGGAUGAAGAUGACUCCUGAAAACACAGACCAGGUGGUGUGGUGAGGAUGGCGGCGCAGUGCAGCCCUAAAAAGCAGGAGGCGCCCCGCACGCCUCACUGCCCAACGCCUGCCAUCCUCACUAAAUGUAAUGAUUUUUUUCUUGAUAUAAAUUCAAUGAUUGUUGUAUGAAGGAUUGCAAUCUGUGUUAUUGUAUAAUUAAAAUUUGCAUAUAAAAAUUCAUGCAC